AGGCAUAUACUUCUCUGAUUAUCCACAUAUGUUUCUCUGAUUAUUUAAUUAUCUGGCAUUGUUAAAUAAGAAAUGCUUUUCAGAUGUUAAAGAGAAAUCGUUGCCUGGUGAGAACUGGAGUAGCUGUAUUGGUGGAGAUCUUUCCUUUGGUGCCUUGAUUAAUGGAAGAAGUAGAUAGCUCAGCAAUGUACCCCUCCAACAAACAAGUUUAGAUCAAGAUACUUUAAUGAACUGACAUGAAAACUUAAUUUUUAAAUGAGACUAAGCAGAAGCACAUUGAUAAUAGAGGAAACAAAUCGGGGAAGGGAAUGCAGGGACAUGACAAUCUUUAUUGACUUCUUAAAAAUAGGGAGUUAUUUGCACUCCUUGGAAUAUCAAAAAAAGAAGGAAAAAAGGGAUCUAGGGAAACUGAUGUCACCUCAUUCUUGUUCUGAAUUCUGGAUAUCAGAUUAUAGCCGGUACUCCUACCUAACAUAAGCAAAGCCAUACUGUGUCAGACCAGAGACCACCUAAACAGGUAUCCCGUCUUUCAUCCAGGAGCAGAUACUCAGCGAGUGAGGAAGAUCAGAGAAAGUACACCGUGAUACUUCCCUGAACACUUUCCCCAAAACCUAGGGAUUUGUGGCUUAGGGUCUGCCUCACCGCAAGCCUGUCGAAGUCUGCGGGCAGGUUUCGUACCCUCAAGCCAAAAGUCCCUCCAGACCUGCUGCAGAAAGAGCCCUAAGGUGCGAGGAGCUCUUGAGCCUCCUGCAUGUCGCAGGCCAUCCCGGAGACCUCUCCUGCCCACGGGAGGAAAGUCACCUCCAACUACGUGUGAAAGGCUGAUCUUGGCCCGGUUGGAGGAGAAAUUGGAGCUGCGAGGCAGAGAAAGCCAGACAUUAAACAUUAUAAGCCACA